rnacentral:rRNA from 1 species
CCUACGGGCGGCAGCAGUGGGGAAUAUUGGACAAUGGGGGCAACCCUGAUCCAGCCAUGCCGCGUGUGUGAAGAAGGCCCUCGGGUUGUAAAGCACUUUCAGUGAGGAAGAACGCCUGGUGGUUAAUACCCAUCAGGAAAGACAUCACUCACAGAAGAAGCACCGGCUAACUCCGUGCCAGCAGCCGCGGUAAUACGGAGGGUGCGAGCGUUAAUCGGAAUUACUGGGCGUAAAGCGCGCGUAGGUGGCUUGAUAAGCCGGUUGUGAAAGCCCCGGGCUCAACCUGGGAACGGCAUCCGGAACUGUCAAGCUAGAGUGCAGGAGAGGAAGGUAGAAUUCCCGGUGUAGCGGUGAAAUGCGUAGAGAUCGGGAGGAAUACCAGUGGCGAAGGCGGCCUUCUGGACUGACACUGACACUGAGGUGCGAAAGCGUGGGUAGCAAACAGGAUUAGAUACCCUAGUAGU